GAAAAAGUCGUAUAAAAAGAGAGAGAAAAGGCGAAGGUAAAUCAGUUGAGGGAGCAUCUCCGACACAGCAACAACUGCAGCGCACUAUAGGUCACUCUUCAUCGUAUUACAUCAGUUCGCAAUCAUGGUCAACUAUGGCGUUUUGGUGCUGUCGGUGUUGUAUCGUUGAUGGCUGCGUCAACCACAAAUGUACUGAUGUCUCCUGGGUAUGGUGGAUACCAAGCAACAGUACCGAAAGAAGACUACACCACGUCGCCGCCUCACAACAAAAAAAUGCUAACGUAGGCUACGCAACACCUAUUUACUACACCGAGGCCCCCAACUAGUACACCAACGAGACUUCAGAGUACUUCACGAAAACUUACGUUGCCCUGAGCUACUACAUCGAAGCCACCAAGUACUAGACCGAGGCUCAAGUUUAUUAACACCACUAAAGCUGUCGAAUACUACACCGAAGCGCCCAAGUACUACAAUGCAACAUACACUGCCCCAACUUAGUACACCGAGGCAGCGGAGUACUACUACACCACCACCGAGGCAGCGGAGUACUACUACACCACCACCGAGGCAGCGGA